AUAAAUGUUGGAAAUUUCACCAUUGGGAUAUUUCAUACUUGGAAAAUUUCUUACUGAUAGUCUAUUGGAAUGGGAACUCCAUUGGCAUGGGAGGUUCCUUCUCUUCCCUUCUUAAGAUUACUUUAGGACAGAAACCCUUUGCUGAACAAUGGAAAGGACUUUGACCUAUGCUUAAGCAUAGAACAGGAAUUUCUUUGAGUCUUGAUUGAUUUAGAAUUGAUACAAUGGAGAUACUUGGAAUCAAUCUCCACCCUAUUCAGUCCUAAUAGGAUUGAGUAAGGGCUGCAGCCUAGAUCAAAAUUUAAUUAUUCCAAUCUCUACCAUACUCAAGUUAACAGGAUUUAGAAAGGGCUGUAGCAAAGGAGUAUAGAUUUAAUCAUUUGAAAAAUAUGACCUUCAAAAGACAUGUGCAAAAGCCAGAAACCUCUGGGCGGUCCUGGGUUAAGCGAGAGCCUCCAUUGACAGGGAAAUUGAUGAAGAGUGAUUGGUAGAUGUGAGGAAUGAGGGGAGGCAACUUGGAUGGUGUCCUUAAAGAUAGGAGGGUCUGGAGACUGGAGAGGGGGGUGGAUUUUUUGGGUCGGUGUUGUUCCUGGGCUCUGAGGAAGCUUGCGCUGAAGGAAGCUGAAGGUGGGGGCCUCUGAGACUGUUUCUCCAUUUUGGACACGUACACCUACAGUUCAUUGGAUGGUAGUUUUGGAACUGGGAGAGACCUGGGAGAUAGAUCAUCUACUCAUAUUCUGCCUUUUUAUGUGUGAGCUACCUAAGGACCAGGAAGGUUAAGUGGCAGAGCUGGGAUUCCAAAUGAAGUCCUCUGGAUCCAAAUCCAGUGUUCUUGCCCCUGGACCACACCGUCUCCCAUACCCAGGUCCAGCUUUUGAAUAUCUCAGAUCUUCCAAUGAUGUUGCAUGGCUGUAGUUCAUGGAAUUCUACAAUCUCUGAAAACCUGAUUUGUAUCACCCAAGUGGAAAUGGAGAAGGAUAUGAAUUGGAAAGACCUCCAUGAACUGAUGCAGAGUGAAAUAAGCAGAACCAGGAGAAUAUUAUACACAGUAACUGAAACAUUGUGGGAUGAUCAAAUGUAAUAGACUUUGCUACUAAUAGCAAUGCAAUGAUCCAGGACAAUUCUAAAAGACUUAUGAGAAAGAAACUAUCUACAUCUAGAGAAAGAACUGUGGGAGAAGAAAAGCAGAAGAAAAUAUAUGAUUCAUCACUUGGUUAUACAGGUAUAUGAUUUGGAAUUUUGGUUUUUAAAAUUAUUCUCUUACAAAAAGUGAAUAAUAUGGAAAUAGGUUUUGAGUGAUAAUACAUGUAUAACUCAGUGAAAUUGCUUGUCAAAAACUCCAGGAGGGGGGAGGGCAGAAGAGAGGGAGACAACAUGAAUCAUAUAAUUAUGGAAAAAGAAAUAAAAACAUAUUUAAAAGUAUUAUCUUUUGUAGUGAGGAUUGACCUGAGAUAACAUGGUACAAAUUAGUAGUAGACCUUGUCAACAUGAUUUCAUGAUUUUCUCCAGCUCAGUAGAAUAUCACAUGAAUAGGAGCAAAAGUAGCAGAUGAUGGGAGUAUUUCAAGGUAGGAACUUAGUAAAUGAUGAUCAAUGAUAGGAAAAUUGGGCAUGGACUCAAAAAUAAAAAAAAAUAUAGAGUUAAACUGGUUCCCCAAGGGUUUGAAAUAAGGAAGAGAGAGUGUUCCCAGUGUUCUAGAAACAUAUUAAGUUCCCAAAUGAUGCAAGGUCCUACCAGACUGUGAUCUGUACCUGGACUCACUAGCCUUUUUGCUCAGAAAAACUAUUAAGUUGUAGGAGGAAGAAACUUUGGUUAUUCCUCCCUCAUUCUCCUACCAGGUCCUAAACUCGUAUCUAGUAAAUCCUCUGCAAACCCUAGAAGCAAAGGUUUAUGUCACAUAGCUUCUGUCCCAUAAACCAGAUUGUGCUGCCAACAGGAUGCCCUAUAAAUAGCCCUAUAAUAGACAUGAAAGUGGGAACAGCUCUUCAGUCUUUAGGCCCAACUGGUCUCUGUUAGUUUCCAUAUGCAUACCUUCUCAGGCUCCCUGGCCAGGGCUUGGUGCUUCCUUCUUCCUGAUGUUGUCUCUGAGUCAAGAGUCAAGCCAAGUCAAGUCAAGCCAAGAGGCUUUGGUAACAAUAACUAGUCUUCUGUGAGAUCACUGCUGGCUAUCUCCUCUGACUUGGGCUUAGAUGUGGCCCUGCCUGUCUUCUCUGCUUUUCUGGUCCUGAUCACAGUCUACUGACCACACACCUACCUAUCUUGACUGUCUGGAUUCCCCAUCCUGGAUCCUCUCAGCCUACCUGCUUUCCUAAUGAGUACUUGCCCAUCUUCUUGCUUGCUCUUGUAACAACUUACCUGACCAACACUAGCCUAGUCUUCCUUCCAUUCUAAAUGAUAAAGCCUAACCAGUCCAAUGCAUAUGGAUAAUUCAUACUCAACACUUAUUUCUGCAUCCAAUU